UCCGAAGGGGGCUAGCGUUGCUCGGAAUCACUGGGCGUAAAGGGUGCGUAGGCGGGGCUUUAAGUCAGGGGGGAAAUCCUGGAGCUCAACUCCAGAACUGCCUUUGAUACUGAGGAUCUUGAGUCCGGGAGAGGUGAGUGGAACUGCGAGUGUAGAGGUGAAAUUCGUAGAUAUUCGCAAGAACACCAGUGGCGAAGGCGGCUCACUGGCCCGGUACUGACGCUGAGGCACGAAAGCGUGGGGAGCAAACAGG
rnacentral:rRNA from 1 species